rnacentral:rRNA from 1 species
AGCAGCCGCGGUAAUUCCAGCUCCAAUAGCGUAUAUUAAAGUUGUUGCAGUUAAAAAGCUCGUAGUUGAAUUUCGAGACCGGUUUACUGGUCGUGCUUUUGUACGUACUGGUAUUAUUGGUUCCUCCUUUCUGACGAAUCAUAAUGCCAUUAAUUUGGUGUUUUGGGGAAUCAGGACUGUUACUUUGAAAAAAUUAGAGUGUUUAAAGCAGGCUCACGCUUGAAUACAUUAGCAUGGAAUAACGAAAUAGGACGUUUGAUUUUAUUUUGUUGGUUUCUAGGAUCGACGUAAUGAUUAAUAGGGAUAGUUGGGGGCAUUAGUAUUCAAUUGUCAGAGGUGAAAUUCUUGGAUUUAUUGAAGACUAACUACUGCGAAAGCAUUUGCCAAGGAUGUUUCAUUAAUCAAGACGAAAGUUAGGGGAUCGAAGACGAUCAGAUACCGUCGUAGUCUUAACCAUAAACUAUGCCGACUAGGGAUCGGAUGAUGUUAAUUUUUAAUGACUCAUUCGGCGCCUUACGG